rnacentral:tRNA from 1 species
CCUGGUGGCUCAGAGGGUAAAGCGUCUGCCUGCAAUGCAGGAGACCUGGGUUCGAUCCCUGCGUCAGGA